rnacentral:rRNA from 1 species
CACGUAGGGUGCGAGCGUUGUCCGGAAUUAUUGGGCGUAAAGAGCUCGUAGGCGGUCUGUCGCGUCGGAUGUGAAAUCCAGGGCUCAACCCUGGACCUGCAUUCGAUACGGGCAGACUAGAGUUCGGUAGGGGAGACUGGAAUUCCUGGUGUAGCGGUGAAAUGCGCAGAUAUCAGGAGGAACACCGGUGGCGAAGGCGGUUCUCGUGGGCAUGUCCUGACGCUGAGGAGCGAAAGUGUGGGGAGCGAACAGG